rnacentral:rRNA from 1 species
GGGGGCUUGCUCCCGGGUUAGUGGCGAACGGGUGAGUAAUAUAUCGGAACAUAUCCGGAAGUGGGGGAUAACGUAGCGAAAGUUACGCUAAUACCGCAUAUGCCCUGAGGGGGAAAGGGGGGGAUCGCAAGACCUCUCGCUUUCGGAGUGGCCGAUACCGGAUUAGCUAGAUGGUGAGGUAAAGGCUCACCAUGGCGACGAUCCGUAGCUGGUCUGAGAGGACGACCAGCCACACUGGAACUGAGACACGGUCCAGACUCCUACGGGAGGCAGCAGUGGGGAAUUUUGGACAAUGGGCGAAAGCCUGAUCCAGCCAUACCGCGUGAGUGAAGAAGGCCUUCGGGUUGUAAAGCUCUUUCAGCCGGAAAGAAAUCGCACUUUUUAAUACGGAGUGUGGAUGACGGUACCGGAAGAAGAAGCACCGGCUAACUACGUGCCAGCAGCCGCGGUAAUACGUAGGGUGCGAGCGUUAAUCGGAAUUACUGGGCGUAAAGCGUGCGCAGGCGGUUUGAUAAGCCAGAUGUGAAAUCCCCGGGCUUAACCUGGGAACUGCAUUUGGAACUGUCAGACUAGAGUGUAGCAGAGGGGGGUAGAAUUCCACGUGUAGCAGUGAAAUGCGUAGAUAUGUGGAGGAAUACCAAUGGCGAAAGCAGCCCCCUGGGUUAACACUGACGCUCAUGCACGAAAGCGUGGGGAGCAAACAGGAUUAGAUACCCUGGUAGUCCACGCCCUAACGAUGUCAACUAGUUGUUGGGGGAGGAGACUUCCUUAG